rnacentral:rRNA from 1 species
UACGGGGGGGGUAAGCGUUGUCCGGAUUUACUGGGCGUAAAGAGCGCGUAGGCGGAAGGUUAAGCGUGGCUUGAAAGCCCCCGGCUCAACCGGGGAGGGCGGCUGCGAACUGGCCUUCUUGAGGGCGAUAGAGGAGAGCGGAAUUCCUGGUGUAGCGGUGAAAUGCGUAGAUAUCAGGAAGAACACCAGUGGCGAAGGCGGCUCACUGGCCCGGUACUGACGCUCAUGUGCGAAAGCGUGGGGAGCAAACAGG